rnacentral:rRNA from 1 species
UACGUAGGGUGCGAGCGUUGUCCGGAAUUACUGGGCGUAAAGAGCUCGUAGGUGGUUUGUCGCGUUGUUCGUGAAAACCGGGGGCUUAACCCUCGGCGUGCGGGCGAUACGGGCAGACUUGAGUACUGCAGGGGAGACUGGAAUUCCUGGUGUAGCGGUGGAAUGCGCAGAUAUCAGGAGGAACACCGGUGGCGAAGGCGGGUCUCUGGGACGUUACUGACGCUGAGACGCGAAAGCGUGGGGAGCAAACAGG